GCCAAAGUGCUGGAAUUGGUAGACAGGCGAGUCUCAAAAACUCGUGGUAUGCAAGUACCGUGUGGGUUCGAGUCCCACCUUUGGCA
rnacentral:tRNA from 1 species